rnacentral:rRNA from 1 species
UUUAAGGUCUAAUCUGCCCAAUGAGUGGUUAAAUGGCCGCGGUAUUUUGACCGUGCAAAGGUAGCAUAAUAAUUAGUUUUUUAAUUGAAAGCUGGAAUGAACGAUUGGACGAGAAAAUUACUGUCUCAGUUUAAUUUGAUUAGAAAUUUAUUUUUGAGUAAAAAAGCUUAAAUGAUUUUAAAAGACGAGAAGACCCUAUAGAGUUUUAUAUAUUAAGUUAUUUUAUUUUUUAAGAAUUAUAAUAUUAAAAUAGUUUAAUAUAUUUUGUUGGGGUGACAGGAAAAUUGGGUAAACUUUUCUUUUUUUAUUAACAUUAAUUUAUGAUUUUGUGAUCCAUUAUUUAUGAUUAUAAGAUUAAAUUACCUUAGGGAUAACAGCGUAAUUUUUUUUUAGAGUUCAAAUCGAAAGAAAAGGUUGCGACCUCGAUGUUGGAUUAAAAUGAAUGUUUGGUGCAGGGGCUAAAUAAUUAGGUCUGUUCGACCUAUAAAAUUUUACAUGAUCUGAGUUUAAACCGGCGUGAGCCAGGUUGGUUUCUAUCUUUAAAUAUAUAUAGGACAUUUUAGUACGAAAGGACCAGAUGUUUAAUAAAUUAUUUUAAUGCUGAAUUAUAUUAA